GGUUGUAGCUCAGUGGUAGAGGUCUUGUCUAGCACAUGUGAGGCCCUGGGUUUGAUCCUCAGCACUG
rnacentral:tRNA from 1 species